rnacentral:rRNA from 1 species
CACUCCUCUAGGAGGAGCAGGCGCGCAAAUUACCCAAUCCUGAUACAGGGAGGUAGUGACAAGAAAUAACAAUGUAAGUGCCAACAGGCAUUUUACUAUUGGAAUGAGUAGAAUUUAAAUCUCUUUUCGACUAUCAAUUGGAGGGCAAGUCUGGUGCCAGCAGCCGCGGUAAUUCCAGCUCCAAUAGCGUAUAUUAAAGUUGUUGCGGUUAAAAAGCUCGUAGUUGGAUUUCUGUUGAGGACGUCCGGUCCGCACUAUGUGCGUGUAUCUGGUUCGGCCUUGGCAUCCUCCUGGGGAACGGUGCUGCGCUUGAUUGCGUGGUCCGGUAUUCAGGACUUUUACUUUGAGGAAAUUAGAGUGUUUACGGCAGGCAAUCGCCUUGAAUACAUUAGCAUGGAAUAAUAAUAUAGGACCUUGGUUCUAUUUUGUUGGUUUCUAGAACUAAGGCAAUGAUUAAUAGGGAUAAUUGGGGGCACUCGUAUUAACACGUCAGAGGUGAAAUUCCUGGAUUGUGUUACGACGAACUACUGCGAAAGCAUUUGCCAAGGAUGUUUUCAUUGAUCAAGAACGAAAGUGCGGGGAUCGAAGACGAUUAGAUACCGUCGUAGUCUGCACCAUAAACUAUGCCAACUAGAGAUUGGAGGUCGUUCUUUUUAUGACUCCUUCAGCACCUUAUGAGAAAUCAAAGUCUUUGGGUUCCGGGGGGAGUAUGGUCGCAAGGCUGAAACUUAAAGGAAUUGACGGAAGGGCACCACCAGGAGUGGAGCCUGCGGCUUAAUU